UUUCCUGGUUAGAUUAACAGAGUGGCAGAAACUGAGGAACACCACAGAGAUGGUUGUGAGUGUUUUUUUGGGCGUUUAUGGGAAGACGAUCGACUUGUGCGACACUGAGGAGCAGUUUAAAAGCAUCACAGUGCUGCAGCUGAAGGAGAAGAUAAUAGAGACUAUUCGCCCUGAAAGCACAGAUGUAUCCGUUGCAGCAGAGGCCCUGGAACUGAUCUUCAAAGACAAGCUUCUGGAUCGAAACUCUGCUCUGCUAUCUGAAUAUGGAAUCCAACACAUGUCAGUCAUUCGCCUACCUAUAUACCCACAAGGGCCGUCUGUGGAUCCAGGAGAGGGAGACCGUGGGAUGGGUGACAAAGGGGGCAAAAACCGAAGUAUGGAGAAGCUGUUUUUUUUUUAAAACCUACUCUCGAUAUGUCUGUUCCCUACUGGGACGCAUUUUAGUAACACUCCAACGCUGCACUUUUUAUUUAACUGUUUUAUUUCAAUAACUGCUGUGUGACCAACUGAUGUGACAAUUGACACACUUUAUUUGUAAUGACCUAAAAACAGGUUGUUUGACUUAUCAGUUUCUGUAAAGGAUCAUUUUCAACCCCAGUGAAUUUAUCCCUAAAUCCCUAACUCAUCCCUAACUGUUUGAAAAAUAUGUUUGUGUUAAUAAAUGAUGAUGAAGCCA